GGCCUAACACAUGCAAGUCGAGCGGAAACGACACUAACAAUCCUUCGGGUGCGUUAAUGGGCGUCGAGCGGCGGACGGGUGAGUAAUGCCUAGGAAAUUGCCUUGAUGUGGGGGAUAACCAUUGGAAACGAUGGCUAAUACCGCAUGAUGCCUACGGGCCAAAGAGGGGGACCUUCGGGCCUCUCGCGUCAAGAUAUGCCUAGGUGGGAUUAGCUAGUUGGUGAGGUAAUGGCUCACCAAGGCGACGAUCCCUAGCUGGUCUGAGAGGAUGAUCAGCCACACUGGAACUGAGACACGGUCCAGACUCCUACGGGAGGCAGCAGUGGGGAAUAUUGCACAAUGGGCGAAAGCCUGAUGCAGCCAUGCCGCGUGUAUGAAGAAGGCCUUCGGGUUGUAAAGUACUUUCAGUUGUGAGGAAGGGUGUGUAGUUAAUAGCUGCGCAUCUUGACGUUAGCAACAGAAGAAGCACCGGCUAACUCCGUGCCAGCAGCCGCGGUAAUACGGAGGGUGCGAGCGUUAAUCGGAAUUACUGGGCGUAAAGCGCAUGCAGGUGGUUCAUUAAGUCAGAUGUGAAAGCCCGGGGCUCAACCUCGGAACUGCAUUUGAAACUGGUGAACUAGAGUACUGUAGAGGGGGGUAGAAUUUCAGGUGUAGCGGUGAAAUGCGUAGAGAUCUGAAGGAAUACCAGUGGCGAAGGCGGCCCCCUGGACAGAUACUGACACUCAGAUGCGAAAGCGUGGGGAGCAAACAGGAUUAGAU
rnacentral:rRNA from 1 species